rnacentral:rRNA from 1 species
CCUACGGGAGGCAGCAGUGGGGAAUAUUGCACAAUGGGGGGAACCCUGAUGCAGCAACGCCGCGUGGGUGAAGAAGUACUUUGGUAUGUAAAGCCCUGUCAGCAGGGAAGAAAAUGACGGUACCUGACCAAGAAGCCCCGGCUAACUACGUGCCAGCAGCCGCGGUAAUACGUAGGGGGCAAGCGUUAUCCGGAUUUACUGGGUGUAAAGGGAGCGUAGACGGCAAGGCAAGUCUGGAGUGAAAGCCCGUGGCUCAACCACGGGACUGCUUUGGAAACUGUGUAGCUGGAGUGCAGGAGGGGUAAGCGGAAUUCCUAGUGUAGCGGUGAAAUGCGUAGAUAUUAGGAGGAACACCGGUGGCGAAGGCGGCUUACUGGCCUGUAACUGACGUUGAGGCUCGAAGGCGUGGGGAGCAAACAGGAUUAGAUACCCCGGUAGUC